rnacentral:rRNA from 1 species
GAUGAACGCUAGCGGCAGGCUUAAUACAUGCAAGUCGAGGGGCAGCAUGAUUGUAGCAAUACAAUUGAUGGCGACCGGCAAACGGGUGCGGAACACGUACACAACCUUCCAAUAAGUGGGGAAUAGCACAGAGAAAUUUGGAUUAAUACCCCGUAACAUAACGAUGUGGCAUCACAUUGUGAUUAUAGAUUUUUCGCUUAUUGAUGGGUGUGCGGCUGAUUAGAUAGUUGGCGGGGUAACGGCCCACCAAGUCUACGAUCAGUAGCUGAUGUGAGAGCAUGAUCAGCCACACGGGCACUGAGACACGGGCCCGACUCCUACGGGAGGCAGCAGUAAGGAAUAUUGGACAAUGGACGCAAGUCUGAUCCAGCCAGGCCGCGUGAAGGAUUAAGGUCCUCUGGAUUGUAAACUUCUUUUAUAAGGGACGAAAAAAGGCUUUUCUAAGUCGUCUGACGGUACCUUAUGAAUAAGCACCGGCUAACUCCGUGCCAGCCGCCGCCGUAACAC